GUAUUUUAAAACAAGAAAAGCCAGAAUGGAAGUUUUAUGUGAUGAGACAAUAGAAACUUGUAUUGUACUAGGAAAUGAAUUUUGCCAGGACUUAGGGGAAAAUAAUAUCUGAAAGGAUAGCAAGAAAGAAUUUUGGAAAGCAUAAAGCCACAUGCAUAUGCUAACCAGUUAGGGUCAAAAAAGCUUGAAGAAGGUUGUAAUGAUUAUGUGAAGUGUCCAAAUGGGAACUGGAUUGAGAGGGUGUAAUAUUUUUUAGCUAGAAAUAAAGCCGGUGAGGGAGGGUAUCAUAUUUCAGGCUAUGUAUAUAUAUCGUGAGGCUAACGGGGAGGUGGAUUGGAUGGUGGCAUAUGUAGCGAGCCAUUCAAGAGGCAUCCUGGAGAGGGUGAGAUGUUCGGUGCACUUCAGGA
rnacentral:lncRNA from 1 species